CUUAAUAAUUAAAUCUAACAAUGUAUUCAAAUGUUCAACAUGCAAUAAAUGAUUUUACCUAUUCAAAAUCUUUUCUUUAGUAUCAGUAUCAUCAAAGCGCAUUACAAGCCCAUUAAUAGCCAAUUGAUAAAAUAUUGGUUUAAAAGAGCUAUCUUAUGUAGCUAAUAUGUAAAUAUAUCCAACAUAAAUUACCUAUGUAUUUAUAAAGAUUAUACACUACUUAAAAUUAAACUAUUUUAAAUUCAUACAUGUACAUUUAUAAAUAGAUAAUUAGAUAAAAAUAUACUAACCUGCUAUCUUCUAUGGGGAAAUCUAACCUUGCCCAUUUCAGAUUUAGGUAAUUACCCAAUUUAACCUUGUCCUUUAGCCAACACCAUAGGUUUUGUUGCUCGCUUCUCCAGUAUAUCCUGUAUCCAGUAUGCCGUGUACUUUGUACAUCAGAUUUAUCAUCUUUGUAUUUUUAAUUAUUUGUCUGUUAUUGACUUAAGGUUAUUUUAUUUUUAUCAGUUUUUAUGUAUUGGUUUUUAUCAUAUUUAUCAGUUAAUAUUAUUACUAUUAUUAUUAUAUACCUAUACAUCAGUAUUC